GGCAGCUUGGCCCUCUGACUCUCUUCGGUGACGGGUAUUCUUGGGUGGAUAAUACGGAUUACGUUGUUAUUGCUUAAGAAUACGCGUAGUCGAGGAGAGUACCAGCGGCAGGCGGGCAG
rnacentral:pre_miRNA from 17 species